rnacentral:lncRNA from 1 species
CUAUACCUCAGUGGAAUCCUAGACCAACGUUUCCUGUUUCGGCUAAAAGGCUGACCUUGCUCGGGCAGCAGCUGUUUGUUAUCGUGUGUGCAUUUUCCAAACGUGCUACAAAAGACCCCCACUGUGCUAGAAGCCAGACUCAACUGCCCCUGACAUCCAGGCCACUCUGUAUCUCUGGUUUCAGGCCGACUGGAUUUCAUCAGCAUGGACCGCUGCUUCCCCAGGCAGUCAGAGAUGACAGAAAUUUUCUGAUUUUCCUCACAUAACUGCCAAACACUAGCCCAGUGAACUCUUCAUGGUUUUAAGUUGGGGGAGAGCGCUGUACCUUUUCACAUAAAGAUAUGUGGAUAGUAUGAGCAUGUCUGCAUUCAUGUUUGCACACAUGUGCAUGUCACACGUGCAUGCUUUGAAGGUGGCACUCAGAUGCCUGCCUCCAGCAGUCCUCCCUACUCUGCUCCUUGGUUUGGCUUCCAUGGCUGUGAUCAGUAGUGGUCUGGAGACACUGGCACUGGUUCAUUUUCAACUUCUCACUUAUUGGGCAAGGAUUGGCAAGAGCCAAUGCUCACAAACGCUCCAGAGAGGAAAACAGGCGGUUGUCUAGGGUACGGAAACAAGCAACAGAUUGAGUUUCUGUUUUGCUGGGAUACUUUUCCUUCAAGGCAAGUCCCCAGGAAGGGCUGCUCUGCUGAGCUGCAACGUCGUUUGCAUGACUUCCCAAUGCUGUAGUAAAUCUGAAGUUCAUCGUAUUCUGGCCAAGGAAAGACUCCAGUGGAAUGUAAUCAACCCCCCGAGAUCCAAACUGUAAUCAGUUCAGAAGCCUAAAGAUGCAAGGGGGAGAAAAGACAGGCCAAGAGGAGUCAUUGAGCCAAAUGAACACAAGUACACAUCUCUAUUCAACAGAAAGAAAAUGGUACAAGCUCUACUGACUGGAAAGAAAUGAGCAAAGAAGGCAACAGUAUAGAUCUUUUUUUCCCCAACAGAAAUGCCAGAUUGCCUUUAUUUAAUUUAGGAAUAAAUGUGGGUGCCCCAGUAGUUCCAAUAUGCCCUGAACGUCUGGAAGUUUCUUGGAUAGCAGCUGUUCCAUAGUUCAUGAUGGAUGAUUAGAAACAUUGGUCUGGCUGUCAACUAGGGCAGCAGCAGCAGCAGCAUCCCUGAGGUAAAUCAACUCCUGGCAAGAGGAAGGCCAUGGAGAAAAGGUUCCAGAUCCCUGAAAACUUUAGCUUUAUUGUGGACACCUAAAGACAGCCCACAGCUUGAAUCACGGAGCAUAAAACUUUCAGUGAAGACUAAGAAUUUCUGUUGAAAAAUUUUGCUCAAGAAUUAAAAUAAAAGCUCUACCACACUUU